UACGAAGGGAGCUAGCGUUGUUCGGAAUCACUGGGCGUAAAGAGCUCGUAGGCGGUUUCGUAAGUCGGAUGUGAAAACUCCAGCUCAACUUGGAGACGCCAUUCGAUACUGCGAUGACUUGAGUCCGGUAGGGGAGUGUGGAAUUCCUGGUGUAGCGGUGAAAUGCGCAGAUAUCAGGAGGAACACCGGCGGCGGAAGGCGGCACUCUGGGCCGGUACUGACGCUGAGGAGCGAAAGCGUGGGUAGCAAACAGG
rnacentral:rRNA from 1 species